rnacentral:rRNA from 1 species
CAGGAUGAACGCUAGCUACAGACUUAACACAUGCAAGUCGAGGGGCAGCGGGAUUGAAGCUUGCUUCAAUUGCCGGCGACCGGCGCACGGGUGAGUAACGCGUAUCCAACCUUCCGUACACUCAGGGAUAGCCUUUCGAAAGAAAGAUUAAUACCUGAUGGUAUGAUGAGAUUGCAUGAUAGCAUCAUUAAAGAUUUAUCGGUGUACGAUGGGGAUGCGUUCCAUUAGGUAGUAGGCGGGGUAACGGCCCACCUAGCCAACGAUGGAUAGGGGUUCUGAGAGGAAGGUCCCCCACAUUGGAACUGAGACACGGUCCAAACUCCUACGGGAGGCAGCAGUGAGGAAUAUUGGUCAAUGGACGAGAGUCUGAACCAGCCAAGUAGCGUGAAGGAUGAAGGUCCUACGGAUUGUAAACUUCUUUUAUAAGGGAAUAAACCCUCCCACGUGUGGGAGCUUGUAUGUACCUUAUGAAUAAGCAUCGGCUAACUCCGUGCCAGCAGCCGCGGUAAUACGGAGGAUGCGAGCGUUAUCCGGAUUUAUUGGGUUUAAAGGGAGCGCAGACGGGUCGUUAAGUCAGCUGUGAAAGUUUGGGGCUCAACCUUAAAAUUGCAGUUGAUACUGGCGUCCUUGAGUGCGGUUGAGGUGUGCGGAAUUCGUGGUGUAGCGGUGAAAUGCUUAGAUAUCACGAAGAACUCCGAUUGCGAAGGCAGCACACUAAUCCGUAACUGACGUUCAUGCUCGAAAGUGUGGGUAUCAAACAGGAUUAGAUACCCUGGUAGUCCACACGGUAAACGAUGGAUACUCGCUGUUGGCGAUAUACUGUCAGCGGCUUAGCGAAAGCGUUAGGUAUCCCACCUGGGGAGUACGCCGGCAACGGUGAAACUCAAAGGAAUUGACGGA